rnacentral:rRNA from 1 species
GAAAAGAAACUAACAAGGAUUCCCCUAGUAGCGGCGAGCGAAGCGGGAAGAGCUCAAAUUUAUAAUCUGGCACCUUCGGUGUCCGAGUUGUAAUCUCUAGAAAUGUUUUCCGCGUUGGACCGCACACAAGUCUGUUGGAAUACAGCGGCAUAGUGGUGAGACCCCCGUAUAUGGUGCGGACGCCCAGCGCUUUGUGAUACAUUUUCGAAGAGUCGAGUUGUUUGGGAAUGCAGCUCAAAUUGGGUGGUAAAUUCCAUCUAAAGCUAAAUAUUGGCGAGAGACCGAUAGCGAACAAGUACCGUGAGGGAAAGAUGAAAAGCACUUUGGAAAGAGAGUUAACAGUACGUGAAAUUGUUGGAAGGGAAACGCUUGAAGUCAGACUUGCUUGCCGAGCAAUCGGUUUGCAGGCCAGCAUCAGUUUUCCGGGAUGGAUAAUGGUAGAGAGAAGGUAGCAGUUUCGGCUGUGUUAUAGCUCUCUGCUGGAUACAUCUUGGGGGACUGAGGAACGCAGUGUGCCUUUGGCGGGGGUUUCGACCUCUUCACACUUAGGAUGCUGGUGGAAUGGCUUUAAACGACCCGUCUUGAAACACGGACCAAGGAGUCUAACAUGCUUGCGAGUAUUUGGGUGUCAAACCCGGAUGCGUAAUGAAAGUGAAUGGAGGUGGGAACCGCAAGGUGCACCAUCGACCGAUCUGGAUUUUUAAUGAUGGAUUUGAGUAAGAGCACGUAUGUUGGGACCCGAAAGAUGGUGAACUAUGCCUGAAUAGGGCGAAGCCAGAGGAAACUCUGGUGGAGGCUCGUAGCGGCUCUGACGUGCAAAUCGAUCGUCAAAUU